ACGGGUGAGUAAUACCUAGGAAUCUGCCUGAUAGUGGGGGAUAACGUUCGGAAACGGACGCUAAUACCGCAUACGUCCUACGGGAGAAAGCAGGGGACCUUCGGGCCUUGCGCUAUCAGAUGAGCCUAGGUCGGAUUAGCUAGUUGGUGAGGUAAUGGCUCACCAAGGCUACGAUCCGUAACUGGUCUGAGAGGAUGAUCAGUCACACUGGAACUGAGACACGGUCCAGACUCCUACGGGAGGCAGCAGUGGGGAAUAUUGGACAAUGGGCGAAAGCCUGAUCCAGCCAUGCCGCGUGUGUGAAGAAGGUCUUCGGAUUGUAAAGCACUUUAAGUUGGGAGGAAGGGCAGUAAAUUAAUACUUUGCUGCUUUGACGUUACCGACAGAAUAAGCACCGGCUAACUCUGUGCCAGCAGCCGCGGUAAUACAGAGGGUGCAAGCGUUAAUCGGAAUUACUGGGCGUAAAGCGCGCGUAGGUGGUUUGUUAAGUUGAAUGUGAAAUCCCCGGGCUCAACCUGGGAACUGCAUCCAAAACUGGCAAGCUAGAGUAUGGUAGAGGGUAGUGGAAUUUCCUGUGUAGCG
rnacentral:rRNA from 1 species